GCAUUAAUGGGGUAGUGGUAACCUGGGUCGUUGCCAGCUUCUAGCGUUAUCGACCCGCCCUGGGUUCGAUUCCCAGUUAAUGCA